GAUACCCUAGUAUUGAUAUGUUUGUACUUGAAAUUAGUAUAGAAUGAAAUUUAAUAAUUUUGGCGGUUAAUUGUUAUUUAGAGGAGCUUGUACUUUAAUAGAAUUUACUCUUUAUAUUUAACUAAUAAUUAAUUUAUUCAUCUCCGUUAUUAAUUUUCAAAAGGGAAGGUUAAGAAUUUUAUUAAAAGAUAUUUCAGGUCAAGAUGUAGUUUUUGUUAGGAGGUAUUAGCUACAUUUAUAAAAUUAGUGAAUUAUACAAUAAUAUAUAUAUAUCCUAAGGUAGAUUGCGUAAGAAAUUGAAUUUAGUUGUAAUAGUAAAUACUAUUUUAUUGUGAAAAAGUUUAAUUAAUGUACAUAUUGCCCGUCACUUCUAUUAAGAUAGAAUAAGUCGUA
rnacentral:rRNA from 1 species